rnacentral:lncRNA from 1 species
GGAUUGUUUUUUACUUUCUCUGUGAAGGUUUUAAAGGAAAUAGAAGAUGAGAUUUGACUGAUCGAGUAGGUAGAGUAGUUCAUGUUCUCAUUUGUAUUAGAAAUCUUGAGUCAUUGUGACACAUGACCCAUGGGGUUCAUCACCAGUUAUUUUUCAUUUUUAUCCAUGCAUACAUUUCUAUCUUCAAGAAGAUUUGUUGUAGCCACA